ACCCGCUGAACUUAAGCAUAUCAAUAAGCGGAGGAAAAGAAACUAACAAGGAUUCCCCUAGUAACUGCGAGUGAAGAGGGAAAAGCUCAAAUUUAAAAUCUGGCAGCUUCGCUGUCCGAGUGGUAAUAGAGA
rnacentral:rRNA from 1 species